UAUUUUUAUCACAAGUACAAUUUUUAAUAUUUAAAUUAAUUAUUAACAAAAAUACAUAAGAAAACCAGAAAACGUUAUAAUAGGAGAAGUCUUAUCCCAAAAUAACAAGAGACAGAAGGAAGGUGAAAAGUUCUACUCACCAACCGGUCACCAGCAUCGCCAGCUCCUGGACUCCUCGAUCACUGUCUUAUUUAUUUGGUUCGGGAUUGUUUCUUACAGACCUUCGAAAGCCCAAUUAUUCGCUGAUUUUGAAGACGAAUUCUUAAGAACGAAGGCUGUAAUUAUUUUGAAACAAUCCUACCGGCUGCGCCAGACAAGUUUACGGGAGCGCGAAAGGGCUUUUUUAAAAAAAUAUUACAUUAAUUAAACUAAAACUAUUUAAUUAAAAAUUAAUUAAAAUUACAGUGGACACGUCCGAGCAGAAUUACAUGCUCUGGAUUAAUCGUUGAUUUAAUUCUAAUUAAACUUUCUCAAGACAUAUGAUCCCAAAGCAUGAGGCAACGUGAGAUAUCAUUUGUUAUUCCUAUUCCGCUGAUUAAGCAUUUACUUGUAUUGUUCUCAUGCUUUGGUCCAACAUAACUAGUUUGAUAAUAAAAGAUUU